rnacentral:sRNA from 1 species
CCGACUACGAGAUUCGCGCCUUGAGGCGGCC